AGUCACUGUUUAGUAAAAGUCCUGGCAGUGCCUAGUUGUGCUACUGGAAGCACACAAUCAUGGAGCCACUGCUGAUGUUUUUGUUUCAAAUCAUGGGUUCCAUUGGUGGUGUAGAGUCUGGAAGCAGUAACAAUUGUAGUACUGUUGCUUUAAUGUUCACAAAAAGGAUUCAUGUACCAGACAGCAUCUACAGUCAACAACAGGCAAGACAUGAGCUAGAAACACCUGAUCUGACAGCUUAUGACAGUACAUAUGAAGUCACUGUGUCAACAUACACCAAGUGGGAUGUUGGUCUUCUUGGAGGGCCUCAUGACUACAUGAAGAUAUCACGGUACUAGUGUAAUAUGUCAGUCUAUACUCUGCCCAGGGGUACUUUCUGGCCUGUUACAACAGAUUGAGUGCCUACAUGAUAUCUUCUGUGUUCAUGUGCUACAGCAGUCCUCCGUAGAAACCACUGCUGUAGUGACCACCUCUGUGACAAAGCCGGUGAGGAGACAGUGGAUGGCAAGCUUUUCAUGGCCUACUAGUAGGUAUCUGCUGUUUAAAAUACUGGUUGCGUAGCAGUGGUGGUCAAAAAUUGGACAAAAA